rnacentral:rRNA from 1 species
GACGAACGCUGGCGGCGUGCUUAACACAUGCCAGUCGAGCGGUAAGGCCUUUCGGGGUACACGAGCGGCGAACGGGUGAGUAACACGUGGGUGAUCUGCCCUGCACUUCGGGAUAAGCCUGGGAAACUGGGUCUAAUACCGGAUAUGACCUCCUAUCGCAUGGUGGGUGGUGGAAAGAUUUAUCGGUGCAGGAUGGGCCCGCGGCCUAUCAGCUUGUUGGUGGGGUAAUGGCCUACCAAGGCGACGACGGGUAGCCGACCUGAGAGGGUGACCGGCCACACUGGGACUGAGACACGGCCCAGACUCCUACGGGAGGCAGCAGUGGGGAAUAGUGCACAAUGGGCGAAAGCCUGAUGCAGCGACGCCGCGUGAGGGAUGACGGCCUUCGGGUUGUAAACCUCUUUCAGCAGGGACGAAGCGCAAGUGACGGUACCUGCAGAAGAAGCACCGGCUAACUACGUG